rnacentral:SRP_RNA from 1 species
GCUGGGUGCGGUGGCAUGCACCUGUAGUCCCAGCUAUUCGAGAGGCUGAGGUGGGAGAAUUGCUUGAGUCCCAGAGUUCUGGGCUGCAGUGCGCUAUGCGGAUCGGGCGUCCACACUAAGGUUGGCAUCAAUAUGGUGAUCUCCUGGGAGUGGGGGACCACCAGGUUGCCUAAGGAGGGGUGAACUGGCCCAGGUUGGAAGGAGCAGGUCAAAACUCCCGUGCUGAUCAAGAGAUGUCAACCUAUUAACUUUUUCUUAACAAGAUUUAAAAAAAAAAAAAUAAAACUUGCUUUCU